rnacentral:tRNA from 1 species
UGUCGGAUAGCUCAAUUGGUAGAGCAACGCACUGUUAAUGCGGAGGUUGUGGGUUCGAGUCUCACUCUGACAGCCA